UCUUAAAGAUGAGCAAAGAAAGCAGUUUCUUGAGAUGGAAUCUACUCUUGGUGAAGAUGUAUGAA
rnacentral:pre_miRNA from 1 species